UGCUCCUCCCCUACGCGCCAAGUGCCAGCUCUUACCUGGUCAGACAUGUUGAAGCUCAAGCCCCAACUGUAAACAAUGGCAGAGAGCAAGACAGCAAAAGAGCCAAAAAAUGCCCCACCAUUGCCCAUUUAAAAGAGAAGACAUAAGAAGACUGACGAAGAAAAGCGGUGUAAAAAGAGAAAAUUGGACCAAGCAAGAGAGAAAACAAGGACUGAUAUCCGAGCUUCAUUUAAGAGGUGGAGGAGCUGCGGGACUUGUAAGGACUCAAGAGCGAGGAAGAGUUGGCUGCGUAUCUGCUGGACAACUGAAAACAACUGGCAGAGGUCCAUUCUCUGGGAGAAGGCGGCUGGAAAGACACUGGAUUCACAAAAAACGUGAACCGACCGCGACAAAGUAAUCCAGCUUUAGUUUGCAGCCGUGCAAACAACUCUGUGAGGCUGCUCUGCCGCUUCGAGCUAAUUGCCAAUAUCACCAUGCUGGAAAGCUCACAAUAGCAAUGUUAACAUGCUGAUGAUUAGCAGAUACAGUCUGAUGUUUACCAUGUUCACCAUCAUAGUUUACGACGCUUGCUAAUUGGCAGUAAACACAAAAUACAGCUGAGGUUAAUGGGAAUGUUAUUACUUUUGCAGGCAGUCUGAAGAAGAGCAUUGGCUUAAAACAUCACUUAUGGAUGAGCUCAUAAAUUCCACUACAGUGCUCAGACCCUUUUUUUAUGCAGGUAUUUGACAUAAAUUAAAGUAUUGGAUCUACA